rnacentral:rRNA from 1 species
UACGCAGGGGGCUAGCGUUGUUCGGAAUUACUGGGCGUAAAGCGCACGUAGGCGGAUAUUUAAGUCAGGGGUGAAAUCCCGGGGCUCAACCCCGGAACUGCCUUUGAUACUGGGUAUCUCGAGUCCGAGAGAGGUGAGUGGAAUUCCGAGUGUAGAGGUGAAAUUCGUAGAUAUUCGGAGGAACACCAGUGGCGAAGGCGGCUCACUGGCUCGGUACUGACGCUGAGGUGCGAAAGCGUGGGGAGCAAACAGG